CCCUCCUUCUAAAUUUAGUAAAUAAAGUUUUAUUUUAGCGAAUUUACUUUCUAUAAAAUUGUUUUACAUGUAAAUAAAGAUUCUAAAAGAUAAGGAUUUAUUCGCAGUAUUUAAUAUUAAGUAUCAAAGAUAUUUGGAAUUAGAAAAUUUAAAUAGCUUUGGUUAAAUUUGUGCCAGCCACCGCGGUUAGACAAAUAAGGCGAGAGAGUAUUAUUGGAAGAAGUUAUCUGAUAGGAGUACAAGAAAUUUUUAUUUUUAGGUGAAAUUUUAAUAAAAUGAAAGGACUGAAGGUGUUUAAGUGAAGCUUGGAAACCCAAUAAAAUAACUAGGAUUAGAGACCCUACUAUUCUGGAAGUUAUCAAGAGUCCUGAGUAGUAAAAGUUAAAGGCUUAAAACUCAAAAAUUUGGCGGUGGCUUAACUAGUCAGAGGAAUUUGCCCCGUAAUCGAUAACCCCCGCUGAACCUUACUUAAUUUGGUAGUCAACUUGUAUACCGCCGUCACCAGGAAAUUUUAAGAAAAUAUUUCCAAGAUCUUGUUAAAAAAUAUGUCAGGUCAAGGUGCAGUUUAUAUUUAAGUGAGAGGUGAAUUACAAUAAAAAUAUUUAUUACGGACUUUAAUGGAAAUAAGAGAGAAGGUGGAUUUGGGUGUAAUAUUUUCAAAAAAGAGAAUAUGAUAAUAGCGCUAAGCCGUGCACACAUCGCCCGUCGCUCUCGUAUAUAGAUGAGAUAAGUCGUAACAUAGUAGGUGUACCGGAAGGUGUACCUAGAUUG
rnacentral:ncRNA from 1 species